CAAGUUAUAGCUUUUAAAGCUUUUUAGUUACAUUAAAAAGAAAAUUGUUAAAUCAAUUUAACUUGA
rnacentral:tRNA from 1 species